GACGAACGCUGGCGGCGUGCCUCAUACAUGCAAGUGGAGCGACGAACCGGGGCUUGCCCCGGGGCAAAGCCGCGAACGGGUGAGUAACACGUGGGUCACCUGCCCCGAUGAUUGGACAACCCGAGGAAACUCGGGCUAAUACCGAAUGUGCUCCUGGCCGUGAUGGCCAGGUGGAAAGGAAGCUUCGGCCUCCGCAUCGGGAUGGGCCCGCGGCCCAUUAGCUAGUUGGUGGGGUAAUGGCCCACCAAGGCGACGAUGGGUAGCUGGUCUGUGAGGACGAUCAGCCACACUGGGACUGAGACACGGCCCAGACUCCUACGGGAGGCAGCAGUAGGGAAUCUUGCGCAAUGCGCGAAAGCGUGACGCAGCAACGCCGCGUGGGGGAAGAAGGCCUUCGGGUUGUAAACCCCUUUCAGUUGGGACGAAGCUCCGUCGGUGAAUAGCCGACUGGAGUGACGGUACCUUCACAAGAAGCACCGGCUAACUACGUGCCAGCCGCCGCCGUAACAC
rnacentral:rRNA from 1 species